rnacentral:rRNA from 1 species
AGUGAACGCUGGCGGUAGGCCUAACACAUGCAAGUCGAACGGCAGCACAGGAGAGCUCGCUCUCUGGGUGGCGAGUGGCGGACGGGUGAGGAAUACAUCGGAAUCUACUCUGUCGUGGAGGAUAACGUAGGGAAACUUACGCUAAUACCGCAUACGACCUACGGGUGAAAGCAGGGGAUCUUCGGACCUUGCGCGAUUGAAUGAGCCGAUGUCGGAUUAGCUAGUUGGCGGGGUAAAGGCCCACCAAGGCGACGAUCCGUAGCUGGUCUGAGAGGAUGAUCAGCCACACUGGAACUGAGAAACGGUCCAGACUCCUACGGGAGGCAGCAGUGGGGAAUAUUGGACAAUGGGCGCAAGCCUGAUCCAGCCAUACCGAGUGGGUGAAGAAGGCCUUCGGGUUGUAAAGCCCUUUUGUUGGGAAAGAAAUCCAGCUGGCUAAUACCCGGUUGGGAUGACGGUACCCAAAGAAUAAGCACCGGCUAACUUCGUGCCAGCCGCCGCCGUAA